GUGGGAGACGCAGGAAGGUGGGUUUGGGGACCCCACCCCAGGACCACCCGACUCCCCCUCCCCCCAGGAGAAAUGCGUAAACUGCUCCCGAAGAUUCCGCUGCACUCAAGGUUUCCAGCUGGAGAACACCCCCAAGAAGAGCUGUGUCUACCGAUCUGGCUACUCCUUCUCCCGGGGCUGUUCUUACACAUGUGCCAAGAGGAUCCAGGUGCCUGACUGCUGCCCCGGCUUCUUCGGCACACUGUGCGAGCCGUGCCCGGGGGGUCAGGGCGGCGUGUGCUCGGGCCACGGGCAGUGCCAGGACAGGCUCCUGGGCAGCGGGGAUUGCCGCUGUCACGAGGGCUUCCAUGGAACUGCCUGUGAGAUGUGUGAGCUGGGCCGCUAUGGGCCCAGCUGUGCUGGAGUCUGUGACUGUGCCCACGGGCUGUGCCAGGAGGGGCUUCAAGGAGACGGAAGCUGUGUCUGUAAUGUGGGCUGGCAGGGCCCCCGCUGUGACCAGAGUGAGUAGCCUCAAGGGGGAGAGGCAGGUGACUUCUGGGGAGGUAGUUCCCGGGUCCAAACGACCAGAACCAUCUUCCUACCCCCUUCCCUCCCAGAGAUCACAGGCCCUCAAUGCCCGAAGAAGUGCGACCCCAAUGCCAACUGCGUGCAGGCCUCGGCGGCGGCGGCCGCCCGUGUCUGUGCCGCGGGAUACUCGGGCGACGGCAUCUACUGUUCAGGUUGGGUCGCGUGGAAUGCUCCGGGCGCCCACCCUCCCAUUUUCCGUGAAAUUUCACCCUGAAACUUUCCCUGCAGG
rnacentral:lncRNA from 1 species